rnacentral:rRNA from 1 species
UACGGGGGAUGCAAGCGUUAUCCGGAUUUAUUGGGUUUAAAGGGUGCGUAGGCUGUGAGGUAAGUCAGCGGUGAAAUGCCCCCGCUCAACGGGGUGAAGUGCCAUUGAUACUGCCUUGCUGGAAUGCGGAUGCCGUGGGAGGAAUGUGUGGUGUAGCGGUGAAACGCAUAGAUAUCACACAGAACACCGAUUGCGAAGGCAUCUCACGAAUCCGCGAUUGACGCUGAUGCACGAAAGCGUGGGUAUCAAACAGG